GGAGGGGUGCCGGAGUGGUUGAACGGGGCGGUCUCGAAAACCGUUGGCCCUCGUAAGGGGGCUCGUGGGUUCGAAUCCCACCCCCUCCG
rnacentral:tRNA from 1 species